UCCACCAGUUUAUCCCUUCAUGACAAACAGAAAUCAGUUUUAGCAAUUGGAUCCUCAUCUGAUUUUUCAGAAUCACACAAAAAUCCGCAGGAUGAGAUUUCUGAAUUAUCUGAGCAUACUCCACCACCAGCAACAUCCCCAAAUGUUGCCACCCUGAAAAACAAGCAACCUCCUCCUGAUCACCCUGUUGAUACCAAAGAAAGAAGAGAUGUACGCAGGCGUUUAUCCUUGCAUACAGAUACAAGUGGUCAGGAUACAUCCAAACACAUUCUCCCUGAUGCUGAUAGUUUGGAAACCCAUUUACACCCUACCACUAGAUCUACACUUCGUUCCCAUGCUGCUGCUCAUUCUGAUAUUCCCCACGGUGAUCCAUCAACUUAACAGAAGUUCCCAAGCUUCCUCAAAGAAAUAGCUACCUAUUGACAAACCCCGCCUCUGGACCUUUUUGUACCAAUAUGGAUAACUCAAGACUUGACAACACAGGAAUCUACCUUGGUUCCUUCCUGGUUGUGCCAGCAAACUUAAUAGGCUACGUUUUUAUUUUGCUGUGAAUAUGACUCUAGCCUCGAACCUGCUACCGAUGAACCUCUGUACAUAUAACCGUCGUAGACAUUACCCCUCCACUAUAGCACCUCCUGCCUGUGUGAUGCAUCUCGUCCUCUAAGCACACU